rnacentral:miRNA from 1 species
AGGCAUAAUUCAACUCACACGU